rnacentral:rRNA from 1 species
CCCGGAGUGGCGGACGGGUGGGUAACACGUGGGGAACCUGCCCUCCCGUGGGGGGAUAGCCCCGGGAAACCGGGGGUAAGCCCGCAUGCGCUCCGUGGCCGAGCGGCGGCGGAGGAAAUGGCCCUCGUGAGAGGGGCAGCGGGGGGAGGGCCUCGUGGCGGAUUAGGUAGUUGGUGUGGUAGUGGCGCACCAAGCCGACGAUCCGUAGCUGGUCUGAGAGGAUGGCCAGCCACACCGGGACUGAGACACGGCCCGG